UUGCACAAGCAAAAACAAAUGAAUCAAAACUUUCAACAACGGAUCUCUUGGUUCUGGCAUCGAUGAAGAACGCAGCGAAAUGCGAUAAGUAAUGUGAAUUGCAGAAUUCAGUGAAUCAUCGAAUCUUUGAACGCACAUUGCGCCCGCCAGCAUUCUGG
rnacentral:rRNA from 1 species